ACUCCUACGGGAGGCAGCAGUGGGGAAUAUUGCACAAUGGGGGAAACCCUGAUGCAGCCAUGCCGCGUGUGUGAAGAAGGCCUUCGGUUGUAAGCACUUUCAGUAGGGAGGAAGGUAGUGUAGUUAACACCUGCAUUAUUUGACGUUACCUACAGAAGAAGCACCGGCUAACUCCGUGCCAGCAGCCGCGGUAAUACGGAGGGUGCGAGCGUUAAUCGGAAUUACUGGGCGUAAAGCGCAUGCAGGCGGCCUGUUAAGUCAGAUGUGAAAGCCCGGGGCUUAACCUCGGAAUUGCAUUUGAAACUGGCAGGCUAGAGUCUUGUAGAGGGGGUAGAAUUUCAGGUGUAGCGGUGAAAUGCGUAGAGAUCUGAAGGAAUACCAGUGGCGAAGGCGGCCCCUGGACAAAGACUGACGCUCAGAUGCGAAAGCGUGGGGAGCAAACAGGAUUAGAUACCCUGGUAGACUGUCA
rnacentral:rRNA from 1 species